UGGGCCUCAUACCGCGGUUGUCGUCGCAGGAGAUUCCCGUUGUGCUCGAAGGAUUGGCAGAGAUAUUCAGUGAACCGCUGCAUGUAACUGAGGCAAGGUAUCAGCAGAUGAUACAGCGAUCCGAAGAGAUGACGAAAACAGCGUUGCAGAUAAUCGCCGACUUUUGGAGUCGUGAUAGAAGUCAGGAAGACUCUGAAUGCUGAGCAGCAGUGCAGUCGAGUUCUUCUUUUAGGGUUGACAGGCGGGCUAGUUGGUACAAUUGUACCCAGUUGUUUCCCUUUCUGAUCUUUCUGGCAUAUAACUUCUUUUCUGAAUAAACUGAGUUUCAGUCUGCG